AUUGAACGCUGGCGGCAUGCCUUACACAUGCAAGUCGAACGGCAGCAUGGAGAGCUUGCUCUCUGAUGGCGAGUGGCGAACGGGUGAGUAAUGCAUCGAAACGUACUGUGUAAUGGGGGAUAACGUAGCGAAAGUUACGCUAAUACCGCAUACGACCUGAGGGUGAAAGCAGGGGAUCGCAAGACCUUGCGUUAUACGAGCGGCCGAUGUCAGAUUAGCUAGUUGGUGAGGUAAAGGCUCACCAAGGCGACGAUCUGUAGCGGGUCUGAGAGGAUGAUCCGCCACACUGGGACUGAGACACGGCCCAGACUCCUACGGGAGGCAGCAGUGGGGAAUUUUGGACAAUGGGGGCAACCCUGAUCCAGCCAUGCCGCGUGAGUGAAGAAGGCCUCCGGGUUGUAAAGCUCUUUCGGCCGGGAAGAAAUCGCACAGGCUAAUACUCUGUGUGGAUGACGGUACCGGCAUAAGAAGCACCGGCUAACUACGUGCCAGCCGCCGCCGUAA
rnacentral:rRNA from 1 species